UGGAUCCAGACUUUGAUCAUGGCUCAGGAUGAACGCUAGCUACAGGCUUAACACAUGCAAGUCGAGGGGAAACGACAUCGAAAGCUUGCUUUUGAUGGGCGUCGACCGGCGCACGGGUGAGUAACGCGUAUCCAACCUGCCCACCACUUGGGGAUAACCUUGCGAAAGUAAGACUAAUACCCAAUGAUAUCUCUAGAAGACAUCUGAAGGAGAUUAAAGAUUUAUCGGUGAUGGAUGGGGAUGCGUCUGAUUAGCUUGUUGGCGGGGUAACGGCCCACCAAGGCUACGAUCAGUAGGGGUUCUGAGAGGAAGGUCCCCCACAUUGGAACUGAGACACGGUCCAAACUCCUACGGGAGGCAGCAGUGAGGAAUAUUGGUCAAUGGACGAGAGUCUGAACCAGCCAAGUAGCGUGCAGGAUGACGGCCCUAUGGGUUGUAAACUGCUUUUAUAAGGGAAUAAAGUGAGUCUCGUGAGACUUUUUGCAUGUACCUUAUGAAUAAGGACCGGCUAAUUCCGUGCCAGCAGCCGCGGUAAUACGGAAGGUCCGGGCGUUAUCCGGAUUUAUUGGGUUUAAAGGGAGCGUAGGCCGGAGAUUAAGCGUGUUGUGAAAUGUAGAUGCUCAACAUCUGCACUGCAGCGCGAACUGGUUUCCUUGAGUACGCACAAAGUGGGCGGAAUUCGUGGUGUAGCGGUGAAAUGCUUAGAUAUCACGAAGAACUCCGAUUGCGAAGGCAGCUCACUGGAGCGCAACUGACGCUGAAGCUCGAAAGUGCGGGUAUCGAACAGGAUUAGAUACCCUGGUAGUCCGCACGGUAAACGAUGGAUGCCCGCUGUUGGUCUGAAUAGGUCAGCGGCCAAGCGAAAGCAUUAAGCAUCCCACCUGGGGAGUACGCCGGCAACGGUGCAACUCAAAUGAAUUGACGGA
rnacentral:rRNA from 1 species